rnacentral:rRNA from 1 species
GUACCCCAAACCGACACAGGUGGUCGGGUAGAGAAUACCAAGGCGCUUGAGAGAACUCGGGUGAAGGAACUAGGCAAAAUGGUACCGUAACUUCGGGAGAAGGUACGCUCUUGAUGGUGAAGUCCCUCGCGGAUGGAGCUGACGAGAGUCGCAGAUACCAGGUGGCUGCAACUGUUUAUUAAAAACACAGCACUGUGCAAAAUCGCAAGAUGACGUAUACGGUGUGACGCCUGCCCGGUGCCGGAAGGUUAAUUG